UCCAAGUUUAUUAUAACUUUAAAGUAACAUUUUAUGAAUGAAAUACAAAUACUACUUAGGCUUCAUUGUGAUAUUGAACUGCUAAUGUUCUUUAUAAACUUUACUUGCAUCAAAUUUUGAAUACUGCAGUACAUCUAUGUCAAAAUAAGUAUGCAUAUUACUAGGGCUGUGCGGUGCACCGAAAAUUUCGGUGCACCGCGAUUCAUACCAUUCGAUUCGAUGCACCGAUUACAAAUUCCGGAUUUCGGUUCGGUUCGGUUUAGAUUUUACUUACACCAAAACAACAAAUAUGGCGUCCGUGUGAUGUUGAAAACAUGUGGUUUUUUAUACAACGGAGAUUUAAAUCACUACUGUGUUAAGAGUUAGCAUUUUCACCACUCAGAUACCAACAGAAUAUGGUCCGUAAGAUCAUUGCAGUUUAUCUUUACAUGGCAUAUAGCAUUUAUGUCAGUGGUGGAGAGAAAUCAACAUCGUAGAAAGUGAUGCAAGGGAUGGUUCGCUGCACCUCAAAACAAAAUAUGAAUAUUGGCAUCAAAUUCAAGGACAACAACACCUGAAAGACACCCAAUGCUGUGAUUUGCUAGUGUGGAUUCCUAGUGACACUCAAAUAAUUCACAUCGACAAAGAUGUAUUAUGUCAACCUUUCAAGCGGGAUAGAGUUUAAUUAUAAUAAUGAAGUAUUUUUGCAGUCUAAAACACACACACAUAACCACAUGUACAUAUACUUUAUUAUGAUAUCAGUGGUGCAUCUAUCAAAAUUAUGUAAUUACAUGUAUAUUUAUUGAAUAAACAUUAUAGACAGUU